rnacentral:rRNA from 1 species
CGUAGCGGCGAGUGANGCGGCAAAAGCUCAAAUUUGAAAUCUGGCGCCUUCGGUGUCCGANUUGUAAUUUGAAGAUUGUAACCUUGGGGUUGGCUCUYGUCUAUGUUUCUUGGAACAGGACGUCACAGAGGGUGAGAAUCCCGUGCGAUGAGAUGCCCAAUUCUAUGUAAGGUGCUUUCGAAGAGUCGAGUUGUUUGGGAAUGCAGCUCUAAGUGGGUGGUAAAUUCCAUCUAAAGCUAAAUAUUGGCGAGAGACCGAUAGCGAACAAGUACAGUGAUGGAAAGAUGAAAAGAACUUUGAAAAGAGAGUGAAAAAGUACGUGAAAUUGUUGAAAGGGAAGGGUUUGAGAUCAGACUCGAUAUUUUGUGAGCCUUGCCUUCGUGGCGGGGUGACCCGCAGCUUAUCGGGCCAGCAUCGGUUUGGGCGGUAGGAUAAUGGCGUAGGAAUGUGACUUUACUUCGGUGAAGUGUUAUAGCCUGCGUUGAUGCUGCCUGCCUAGACCGAGGACUGCGAUUUUAUCAAGGAUGCUG